rnacentral:rRNA from 1 species
GACGAACGCUGGCGGCGUGCUUAACACAUGCAAGUCGAACGAAGUGGCGAACGGGUGAGUAACGCGUCAUCAACCUGCACUUCAGAGGGGGACAACAGGUGGAAACGACUGCUAAUACCGCAUACUGAAGGAGGGGAUUGCGUCUGAUUAGCUAGUUGGCGGGGUAACGGACCACCAAGGCGAUGAUCAGUAGUCGGUCUUAGUGGAUGAACGGCCACAGUGGGACGGAGACACGGCCCAGAUUCCUACGGGAGGCAGCAGUUGGGAUUCUUCCGAAAUGGAGUCAAGUCUGACGGAGCAACGCAGCGGGAGUGAUGACGGCCUUCGGGUUGUAAAGCUCUGUUAAUCGGGACGCGGUACCGGAAUAGAAAGCCACGGCUAACUACGUGCCAGCAGCCGCGGUAAUAC